CUCAAUACUAUGCCGCAUAUAAUGAACUGAAGGCUGCUGGAGUUGAAUUCCCACCUCGAGAAGAGAGCAGUGUACCAUUCUUUACUCCACCCCAGACCCAGCCAAUAAUUUCUCCUGUUACUGAAUACAAUGAUGCUGCUAUUGAGGCCUCUUUACAGUCUGAUGCUUCAGGCCUCAGCUAAGCAAAUGGACUCACAACAAAGACAAGUGCACAAAGGAUGAUGAAUUGAAGGAUGGAGCAAGUUUCGUUUACUUUUGUGUAUCUUGUAAUGUUUCUAUUUUUCAUUUUUGAAGUAAAAAUUGUUCAAGAUUAUAAAACUUUAUUAUGUUAUGCUUUCAAA